GAUGAACGCUGGCGGCGUGCCUAAUACAUGCAAGUCGAGCGAACGGACGAGAAGCUUGCUUCUCUGAUGUUAGCGGCGGACGGGUGAGUCACACGUGGAUAACCUACCUAUAAGACUGGGAUAACUUCGGGAAACCGGAGCUAAUACUGGAUAAUAUUUUGAACCGCAUGGUUCAAAAGUGAAAGACGGUCUUGCUGUCACUUAUAGAUGGAUCCGCGCUGCAUUAGCUAGUUGGUAAGGUAACGGCUUACCAAGGCAACGAUGCAUAGCCGACCUGAGAGGGUGAUCGGCCACACUGGAACUGAGACACGGUCCAGACUCCUACGGGAGGCAGCAGUAGGGAAUCUUCCGCAAUGGGCGAAAGCCUGACGGAGCAACGCCGCGUGAGUGAUGAAGGUCUUCGGAUCGUAAAACUCUGUUAUUAGGGAAGAACAUAUGUGUAAGUAACUGUGCACAUCUUGACGGUACCUAAUCAGAAAGCCACGGCUAACUACGUG
rnacentral:rRNA from 1 species